rnacentral:rRNA from 1 species
GACGAACGCUGGCGGCGUGCUUAACACAUGCAAGUCGAACGGAAAGGCCCUGCUUUUGUGGGGUGCCCGAGUGGCGAACGGGUGAGUAACACGUGAGUAACCUGCCCUUGACUUUGGGAUAACUUCAGGAAACCGGGGCUAAUACCGGAUAGGAGCUCCUGCUGCAUGGUGGGGGUUGGAAAGUUUCGGCGGUUGGGGAUGGACUCGCGGCUUAUCAGCUUGUUGGUGGGGUAGUGGCUUACCAAGGCUUUGACGGGUAGCCGGCCUGAGAGGGUGACCGGCCACAUUGGGACUGAGAUACGGCCCAGACUCCUACGGGAGGCAGCAGUGGGGAAUAUUGCACAAUGGGCGGAAGCCUGAUGCAGCAACGCCGCGUGCGGGAUGACGGCCUUCGGGUUGUAAACCGCUUUCGCCUGUGACGAAGCGUGAGUGACGGUAAUGGGUAAAGAAGCACCGGCUAACUACGUGCCAGCAGCCGCGGUGAUACGUAGGGUGCGAGCGUUGUCCGGAUUUAUUGGGCGUAAAGGGCUCGUAGGUGGUUGAUCGCGUCGGAAGUGUAAUCUUGGGGCUUAACCCUGAGCGUGCUUUCGAUACGGGUUGACUUGAGGAAGGUAGGGGAGAAUGGAAUUCCUGGUGGAGCGGUGGAAUGCGCAGAUAUCAGGAGGAACACCAGUGGCGAAGGCGGUUCUCUGGGCCUUUCCUGACGCUGAGGAGCGAAAGCGUGGGGAGCGAACAGGCUUAGAUACCCUGGUAGUCCACGCUGUAAACGGUGGGUACUAGGUGUGGGGUCCAUUCCACGGGUUCCGUGCCGUAGCUAACGCUUUAAGUACCCCGCCUGGGGAGUACGGCCGCAAGGCUAAAACUCAAAGGAAUUGACGGGGCCCCGCAUAAGCGGCGGAGCAUGCGGAUUAAUUCGAUGCAACGCGUAGAACCUUACCUGGGUUUGACAUGGAUCGGGAGCGCUCAGAGAUGGGUGUGCCUCUUUUGGGGUCGGUUCACAGGUGGUGCAUGGCUGUCGUCAGCUCGUGUCGUGAGAUGUUGGGUUAAGUCCCGCAACGAGCGCAACCCUUGUUCACUGUUGCCAGCACGUUAUGGUGGGGACUCAGUGGAGACCGCCGGGGUCAACUCGGAGGAAGGUGGGGAUGACGUCAAGUCAUCAUGCCCCUUAUGUCCAGGGCUUCACGCAUGCUACAAUGGCUGGUACAGAGAGUGGCGAGCCUGUGAGGGUGAGCGAAUCUCGGAAAGCCGGCCUCAGUUCGGAUUGGGGUCUGCAACUCGACCUCAUGAAGUCGGAGUCGCUAGUAAUCGCAGAUCAGCAACGCUGCGGUGAAUACGUUCCCGGG